GACGAACGCUGGCGGCGUGCCUAAUACAUGCAAGUAGAACGCUGAAGGAGGAGCUUGCUUCUCUGGAUGAGUUGCGAACGGGUGAGUAACGCGUAGGUAACCUGCCUGGUAGCGGGGGAUAACUAUUGGAAACGAUAGCUAAUACCGCAUAAUAGUAGAUGUUGCAUGACAUUUGCUUAAAAGGUGCAAUUGCAUCACUACCAGAUGGACCUGCGUUGUAUUAGCUAGUUGGUGGGGUAACGGCUCACCAAGGCGACGAUACAUAGCCGACCUGAGAGGGUGAUCGGCCACACUGGGACUGAGACACGGCCCAGACUCCUACGGGAGGCAGCAGUAGGGAAUCUUCGGCAAUGGACGGAAGUCUGACCGAGCAACGCCGCGUGAGUGAAGAAGGUGUUCGGAUCGUAAAGCUCUGUUGUAAGAGAAGAACGAGUGUGAGAGUGGAAAGUUCACACUGUGACGGUAUCUUACCAGAAAGGGACGGCUAACUACGUG
rnacentral:rRNA from 1 species